CUUUGAAGUGUGGACGCCAGUCUGCAUGGAGCCGACCUUGAAAUACCACCCUUUAAUGUUUGAUGUUCUAACGUUGGCCCCUAAUCGGGGUUGCGGACAGUGUCUGGUGGGUAGUUUGACUGGGGCGGUCUCCUCCUAAAGAGUAACGGAGGAGCACGAAGGUUGGCUAAUCCUGGUCGGACAUCAGGAGGUUAGUGCAAUGGCAUAAGCCAGCUUGACUGCGAGCGUGACGGCGCGAGCAGGUGCGAAAGCAGGUCAUAGUGAUCCGGUGGUUCUGAAUGGAAGGGCCAUCGCUCAACGGAUAAAAGGUACUCCGGGGAUAACAGGCUGAUACCGCCCAAGAGUUCAUAUCGACGGCGGUGUUUGGCACCUCGAUGUCGGCUCAUCACAUCCUGGGGCUGAAGUAGGUCCCAAGGGUAUGGCUGUUCGCCAUUUAAAGUGGUACGCGAGCUGGGUUUAGAACGUCGUGAGACAGUUCGGUCCCUAUCUGCCGUGGGCGCUGGAGAACUGAGGGGGGCUGCUCCUAGUACGAGAGGACCGGAGUGGACGCAUCACUGGUGUUCGGGUUGUCAUGCCAAUGGCACUGCCCGGUAGCUAAAUGCGGAAGAGAUAAGUGCUGAAAGCAUCUAAGCACGAAACUUGCCCCG
rnacentral:rRNA from 1 species